AGGGUGUAAACGCUGCAGACUUGGUGUUGGAAGCCCUUUGGGGGCAUUCAGUGCCGGAGAGAAGUUGUUAAGUCUGCUACUUGGGGAGUACGUCCGCAAGGAUGAACUUAAAGGAAUUGGCGGGGGAGCACCGCAACGGGAGGAGCGUGCGGUUUAAUUGGAUUCAACACCGUAAAACUCACCAGGGAAGACUGUUACAUGAAGGCCGAGAUGAAGACUCUGCCAGAUUUUUCAGAGAGGAGGUGCAUGGCGUCAGUGACU
rnacentral:rRNA from 1 species